rnacentral:misc_RNA from 1 species
AACGCACCUUGCGCCCCUUGGCAUUCCGAGGGGCACACCCGUUUGAGUGUCGUGAAAUCCUCAAAACCUUUUUCUUUGACGAGAAAAGGAGUUUUGGACUUGGAGGUUCAAUGCCCGCUUUCGGCAUCGAAAGCGAGCUCCUCUCAAAUGAAUCAGUGGGGUCCGCUUUGCUGGUCCUUGACGUGAUAAGAUGUUUCUACGUUUUGGAUCUGGCACUGUCCCUUGGAUGCCCGCUUCUAACCGUCUCAUAGACAACGAUGGUGCCCCGGUCACCUCCGUCCACGUUGGCGGGGGAGGCUUGGCCCACGACAAAAAAACCUUGACCUCAAAUCGGGUGAGACUACCCGCUGAACUUAA